AUGAAAAUAACUAGCUGGAACUGCCGAGGUCUGGGACAACCUCGGACAGUCCAAGAGUUGGUGUGCCUCUCAAAGACACACCGACCCAACAUUAUCUUUCUUUCUGAAACAAGGAAAAAUAAAGAGUAUGUUGAGAGUUUGCGCUACCGCUUGGGUAUGAAAAAUGUGUUUGUUGUUUCUUUGCCAGGAAAAGGUUGA
rnacentral:rRNA from 1 species